rnacentral:misc_RNA from 1 species
CAGAGUUGCAAAACUCCCACAAACCAUCGCGAAUCUUACCCGUACGGUUGCCUCGGCGCUGGCGGUCCGGAAGGCCCUCGGGCCCCCGGAUCCUCGGGUCUCCCGCUCGCGGGAGGCUGCUCGCCGGAGUGCCGAAACUAAACUCUUGAUAUCUUAUGUCUCUCUGAGUACACUUUUAAAUAAGUCA